rnacentral:sRNA from 1 species
GGCCAGGAAGCAGGCCAGGCCUCAGCAAUGGAGCCAGCUGGGGCAGGGCCCAGGGGGUGGCCUGGGCGGGGCUCCCGGCUCCCUGAUUCACCCACCCGCAGACCCCACGCGGGACCAGUGCUUCGGGGACCGCUUCAGCCGCCUGCUGCUGGAUGAGUUCCUGGGCUACGAUGACAUCCUCAUGUCCAGCGUGAAGGGCCUGGCGGAGAACGAGGAGAACAAGGGCUUCCUGCGGAAUGUGGUGUCGGGCGAGCACUACCGCUUUGUGAGCAUGUGGAUGGCGCGGACGUCCUACCUGGCCGCCUUCGCCAUCAUGGUCAUCUUCACGCUGAGCGUGUCCAUGCUGCUGCGGUACUCACACCACCAGAUCUUCGUCUUCAUCGGUGAGUGUCCCGCCGGCGCAGGGCGGGGCGGGCGUCCUCCAGGCCCUCACCGGGCGCCCGCCGCCCUGUGCCCGCAGUGGACCUGCUGCAGAUGCUGGAGAUGAACAUGGCCAUCGCCUUCCCCGCAGCGCCCCUGCUGACCGUCAUCCUGGCCCUCGUCGGUGAGGACCCCACCCGGCCUCCCCCGCCCCGCGCUGCACCCCGCCCCGCCCGCUUCAACCGGCGCCGCCUCUCCCUGCAGGGAUGGAGGCCAUCAUGUCGGAGUUCUUCAACGACACCACCACCGCCUUCUACAUCAUCCUCAUCGUGUGGCUCGCGGACCAGUAUGACGCCAUCUGCUGCCACACCAGCACCAGCAAGCGGCACUGGCUGCGGUGAGCGUGGCACGGGGGCAGGGCGGAGUGGGUGCUGGCGGGAAGGGGUAGGGGGCUGCCAGAGGGAGGGGCGUUGGAGGCAGGGGUGGUGGCUGCGCCAAGCGGGAACCCCAGGGGCUGGGCCUGGCAGGGUGGGACCUGCAGCCCCGACGCCCUCACCCCGCCCCGCAGGUUCUUCUAUCUCUACCACUUCGCCUUCUAUGCCUAUCACUACCGCUUCAACGGGCAGUAUAGCAGCCUGGCCCUGGUCACCUCCUGGCUCUUCAUCCAGCAUUCCAUGAUCUACUUCUUCCACCACUAUGAGCUGCCUGCCAUCCUGCAGCAGGUCCGCAUCCAGGAGAUGCUGCUUCAGGCGCCGCCACUGGGCCCCGGGACCCCCACGGCGCUGCCCGAUGACAUGAACAACAACUCGGGCGCCCCAGCUACAGCCCCUGACUCUGCCGGCCAGUCCCCCGCCCUGGGCCCCGUCUCGCCCGGGGCCAGCGGGAGUCCCGGGCCUGUGGCAGCGGCGCCCAGCUCCCUGGUGGCCGCGGCAGCCUCAGUGGCGGCAGCUGCCGGUGGUGACCUGGGUUGGAUGGCAGAGACCGCUGCCAUCAUCACAGACGCCUCCUUCCUGUCCGGCCUGAGCGCCUCCCUCCUGGAGCGGCGUCCAGCCAGCCCGCUGGGCCCUGCUGGGGGCCUCCCCCACGCCCCCCAGGACAGUGUCCCCCCGAGUGACUCCGCAGCUUCUGACACAACUCCCCUGGGGGCUGCGGUAGGCGGGCCUAGCCCGGCCUCCAUGGCCCCAACGGAGGCGCCCUCGGAGGUGGGGUCCUGAGCCGCACAGCUGAGCCGCCUCUGACCCCUGCUGGCUGGGCCUGACCUUCCCGAGCCCGUGGGGGUGGGGGAGGCCAGCCACCUCCUUCCUCUGGGACUGCCCAGGCUGUGUCGGGGGCUUUCAGGGUUUCGUGGGGUUUGCCCGGAAGGCGGCUUUCCUCCCACUGGUGUGAGCUUGCGCCUCGGGCAUAGGGACGUGGGGUGCAGGCGCCAACAUCAGUGGCAGCAGCCAGGGCCGUGGUCCAGUCCCACUCGGGGAUGGAGUGGGCCGGCGGCCAAACCAGUCACUCGGGGAGGAAUGCGGAGGAGCGCUCAUUCCAUUCUAUUUAAUUGCAGUGUACAAAAUUGUGUUUGUAUAUAGAAUAAACUGUCUGUUGACAGCGG